GAAGCCUGAGAUCUGAGAGAAGACUGGGCUACUAAUUGAGAAGGCUGGCACUCUUUCCACUCAGCAAUGAUAAGUGCUACCUACCAGAUCCUUUAGCAAAAAGAAGAAAAGGUGAGAAGAAAAGAUUUGGCUAGAGAAGGGAAAGAAUUCAAGAUGCAAACAAAAUGUAAGGAAACAGAAAUCGGGUAAGUCACAACUACUUCUAUAAUAAUUUACAACUCCUUAUAGAUAUUUAACACCACACCAAAAAAAAAAAAAAAAAAAAAAAAAGAUUCUAAGAUCAGUCCAAAUGCCACUGUACUUUUAUAAGGAGGUCAAGCCUCACACAUUAGCAAAGCUAAAAUUUGGACAUUGAUUUUUUUUUCUGUCCAGAAAAAAGAAAUGAAUGUUCUCUCCAUAAUUUCAAAUAUAUAUGACAUUCUCCUUCAAUAUUCUUCACAAAUUGUAGCCUGCUUCAUCACCUUUUUUAAAGCAUAUUCUACCAAAAAGGUGCCUGUAUUUUAUUGAUUUUUACCUAUUAUAAACAGUCUAGAAAGUACUAACUAAGGAUUCUUUCAGGAUGAAAUAUGGGAUAUAAUGGAUCUGCUAUUAUUAUUAUGAACUACUAGUCUAUGCCAUCACUGAAAUAUUUAAAAUACAGGUACUGUAGGUAUUUGGACAACCAGAAACAAAAGAAAAAUUAAAGUAGCUAAAGGGAGAUAAAUCUUUUACCCUUAUACUGCUUAAUUGUGUUAUUGGAAUGUCUUACCUAAGAUAUUACUGUGCGUAACUAGUACUUAUGAAAUUAACAUUAGGAAAUUCUAAAUACUAAAUGUCUCAGGGAUUUUUCACAAUUUGGGCCUAGGGUUCCUAGAAGAGUUCUAGAUAUCAACUAACUUUUUAUUAGCCACCACAAAUAUCAUUCUUAGUGAUUUAAAUAAUGUUUGGGUUUUGUUAUUUUUAAUGAUGGUUAUGGAGAACAAAAGCAUUUUACACUUAUCUAAGGGAUCUUACAGUUUUCAAGGAAAGGAUAUAACCAAUACACUAGAUCUGUGGUGAUGAAAAUGUUAUAUUUUUCGACUGAGUGUUUGAUACGCAGGGAUAUAUUUUUUAAAACUCAUUAACUAGACACUCAAGAUCUUGGAAUUUCGCAACAUAUAAAUUUUACUUUGAUAAAAGAUUUUAACAGGAAAAAUAAGACACUGGCUAAAACGCUGAAACACUGGUGUUUCCAUUUGUGUUCAUUACUGUUCUGAAAUUUUAAGAUAUCAAAAUAUUAAUAUUGAAGAUAUCACUAUUUAGUUACUCUGUGGCACUAGAGUCCUCAAGAAGUCCUUAAUGAUGUGUUUUCAUGGCUAUUGUCAUUCCUUCAUAUAUCCUCAUAUUUUUCAGAAUAUAAAGUGCAUUCUACCUCAGAUAUAUUUUUAUUUCUUUGCCGAAGUAUGAUUUACUUACAAUAAAAUACACAGAUCUUAAGUAUUUGGCUUGAUGAUUUCAGACAAUUGCAUAAACUCACCACCACCCGAGAUACAGAAAUUUCAAACAUCUCAGAAGAUUCGCUUGUACCCACUUCCACUGAAUUCCUACUCCACAGCCCAGAAGCUUUCUAAUUCCUGCGACUAUCGUUUUGCUUAUUCUUGAACGUCAUAUAAAUUAAAUACAGGACCUUUGUAUCUGGCUUCUUUUGUUCAACGUGUUUUUGAGAUAAUCUCUGCUGUUGUGUGUGGUAAGAGUGUGUUCCUUCUGAUUGUACUCCUCCUUUGUAUAAAUACACCAGAAUUCGUUUUUCUACUCUCCUGUUGAAGGACAUUUGCAUUAUUUCUAGUUUGGGGUGAUAAUGAAUUAAGUUGCUAAGAACAUUCUUGUACAUGUCUUUUUGUGGAUAUAUGAUUUUUAUUUCUUUGGGAAGCCUAGGGAUAGAAUUGCCGGCCUAUAGGAUUGAUAUAGAUUUAUUUUCUAUGUGUAAAAUAAAAGCUACAUAGUUCUCCAAAGUUCUGUGUCAUUUUCAAUUUCCAUCAACCAAUGAGAGAGGCGCUGCAGCCUUUAGGUUCCUUUAGUCAUUCCAGUGCUGGUUUUUUCCCCAAGCCAGUCUCUUUUGUUGUUAUUUAGCUAUUCUGGUGAGUGGGAAUGGUAUCCCUUUGCGGUUUUAAUUUGCAUUUCUAAUGAUUAAUGAUGUUGAACACAUUUUCUUGUGGCAAUUUUCCAUUUAAAUCUUUCUUUGCAAAGUGUCCAAGUUUUGGUACUUUUUAAAUUGCACUGUCCUUUUUUAUUAUUUAUAUAGUCUAGAUACAAGGCUUUCGUCAGAUGGAUGCAUGACAAAUAUCUUCUUCUCAAUCCAUGGCUUGCCUACUCACUUUCUUUAUUUCUUUGUAUUUUUUUCUUUUUAGGGCCACACCCACAGCAUAUGGAAGUUCCCAGGCUAGAGGUCAAAUCAGAGCUGCAGCUGCUGGCCUUUGCCACAGCCACGGCAAUGCCAGAUCUGAGCUGUGCCUGCAACCUACACUGCUGCUCAUGACCACACCAGAUCCUUAACCCACUGGGCGAGGCCAGGGAUCAAACUCACAUCCUCAUGGAUGUUAGUUGGUUCCCCCACAGAGCCACAGCAGGAACUCCAAACUACUCAUUUUCAUAAUGGUGUCUUUUAAUGAAUCUUCUAUGUUUCCUUCCAGAAACUUUAUGUUUUUGGCUUCUACUUUAUGUCUAGGAUACUCCUCAAAUUAAUUUUUGUUUAUCAUCCGAGAUAAGGAUUGAGGCUACUUUUUUCCUAUGUAAAAGACUUUCUUUUUUCCUAUUGAGCUAAGCCAAUAUUUUAAAACAUUUAUAAAUUUAGUCAACUGUAAAGAUAAUAUGACCCCCAAAUAGUAUUAGAAAUAAGAUUUUUUCCCGAAGAGUGAAGAACCAUCAAUUAUUUUUAAUAGUUCCAGUAAAGGAAAAAUAGCUGUGUUGUAUGGAAGGAGCAUUAUCCUUAAAAUCAGGAUGUGCUGACUCUUACAGUGAUUUUGCUCCUUCUUAACUGUGCUAUUGUGGGUACAUCACUUACUCACUCUGCACUUCAGCCUUCUCCAUCUAUCCAACAUAUAACUAGAAAGAUAAUGCCUACUUCACAUGGAGGGCUUCUGGAGCCUCAAGGAAAGUAAGGCAGUGGAAUUCAACUCUAAGAAGUCUGCCAAGGGCCUGCAAUGUAUCCAGAUCUGGUGGGGUGUUCGGAACUAGGAGUGAGAAGUGGCCAACAGAGGAGAACAUGUAGAAGCAGAUAUAAAGGAGACUGGUGCUACAACUGUGGAGCUAGAGAGCAUCAUGCCAAAGGAUGCAAGCUGUCACUCUAGCCCCAAAAGUACCACUUCUGCCAGAGCAUCAGCCAUGUGGUGGCCUCAUAUCCACUGAAGGCCUAGCACGACCCCACCUCACAAAGAAAGCCAACCCAUUUUGGAGAAAGAAGAAAUCCAGAGCCCUGUCCUGCUCUCAGAGGCACAGAAUUUUGCCAGGAUGAAUGGGUGGCUAUCUCUUUGCACUCAGGAAAUUUCGAGGAGCAGACAUCAAUCGGCAAAGAGUGGAGAAAGCAGGACAGAUAAGGAAAGUCGAAGUAUCUUACAGAGGGUUGUGCACCAGCCAAAAGGAUCUGAAACAUCAUCUUGGGAGCUGCUCUCUUUAAAGUGGGAAAUUCUAUUAUUAGUGACAACAAGCCUUUUCCGACCAGCUAAUGAUGAUUUCUUCUUCCAAAGGGUCUGCGUCAUACAUCUCCUUCAAGAUAUGUGGAAUUUUGGAGCUGAGCUGAGCUUGAUGCAUUGCUACCACACACUCCAAACCAUGAAGAAGGUACUGUUGAGCUUUUCUGUUGUUGUGGCAAAAUUGUAAGAAAUGGUGCCUGUAUUUCUUAAUUUGUCCUCUAAUCUUCUCAUUAAAAAGAACUUCAGUCAAAAGAAGAGGGCCCAUGGCCUUUACAUCCAAUCUUUCUGCUUCAGCUACAAUUUCUUUGUCAGAUGAGUCAAUAAUACCCACUUCUUCCUUUUUCUUAACAAAAUCAAACAAGCUAUCGACACGCUCUUCAACAGUCCUUUCCAAAUCAUCACUGAGGGUUAAAACUCUUGCAUGGUCACUGAUUUCGUCCAUUCUCCUCUAUUUAUUCACCUGUUGCUUCCUCUGUUGUAUCCUCCCCCCAGUCAUCAUCCUCCUCUUCUUCCACAGCAUGUGGAGGGGGAUUGAUUUCAUUUGGUGGUGGUGGUGGUGGUGGUGGUGUCUCACUGCUGGACACGGUGCCAUUUUCCUUGUCCUUGCCCUUACUGUUUUUCUUUUCCUUUUCUUUCUUUCCUGUACCACUGUCACUAUUCUCAGGUGGGUUUUUGAGAAUGAAUGUGCAGAGUUUAUGAUGUGUGUCAAGCAUGCCUCGAUAGCCACAGGCUUAACAAGAAUUACCUAUUGUUUGCUUCUUUGGAUUGACAUGCAGAUCUGUUUCAGGAUUCUCACACUCAGGACAGAGAACAAAUUUUUUUUUUUUUUUUAAUUUUAUUUUCCCACUGUACAGCAAGGGGGUCAGGUUAUCCUUACAUGUACACAUUACAAUUACAGUUUUUCCCCCACCAUUUCUUCUGUUGCAACAUGAGUAUCUAGACAUAGUUCUCAAUGCUAUUCAGCGGGAUCUCCUUGUAAAUCUAUUCUACGUUGUGACUGAUAAGCCCAAGCUCCCGAUCCCUCCCACUCCCUCCCCCUCCCAUCAGGCAACCACAAGUCUCUUCUCCAAGUCCAUGAUUGAUUUUCUUUUCUGAGGAGAUGUUCAUUUGUGCUGGAUAUUAGAUUCCAGUUAUAAGUGAUGUCAUAUGGUAUUUGUCUUUGUCUUUCUGGCUCAUUUCACUCAGUAUGAGAUUCUCUAGUUCCAUCCAUGUUGCUGCAAAUGGCAUGAUGUCAUCCUUUUUUAUGGCUGAGUAGUAUUCCAUCGUGUAUAUAUACCACAUCUUCCGAAUCCAAUCCUCUGUCGAUGGACAUUUGGAUUGUUUCCAAGAGAACAAAUUUUUUAAUGAAUCCAUCUAACAUGUCUUGCAGCUUAUUCGCCUCAUGAGAUCCAUUGACGAUGUAACAGUCAUUCUUAACAUCAAACUGGGUCUGUGCUCCCAGCUCACAACCAAAAUAUUUGGUGGGAUAUGUAGGAGGCCGAUCAAGUGCUUUGGCUCCGUCAACCAUGUUGACUAUAACUGUCUUGAUUCCAUUUCCUUUGCCCUCGACCUUGGCAAUCAGACGGGGCAUCUUGUAGCGAUAGAACUGGUCUGACAUGCUGCGAUUGACAUUGACAGAUAUUUUGGCUUAUUAGUGACUUUAUCAGUAAGAUGAGAGAUCUUUGAUUGCAACUUUUUGGUAUCCUCUGUCUGGAGAAGAAGGGGUGACAUAAACGACUGCAAGAGUUCUCGGUCUCUGACAUGAAAAAUUUUUCGCCACUGAGGCUGUAAGCUUCUUGCUUGUAUGCUAUGUUUCCCCAAUACAGGUACCAAUGGCUGCGCAACAGCUCUCUGGAAUGUUCUCACUCGGACUCAAUAAUGUCCUUUAUAGUCAAUCCUCACCCCCAUCACCACCCCAAUCCUGGAUCACUCAUUGCAUUUAAUUGUCACAUCUCUUUAGUCUCUCUUAUCUAGAACGGUUUCUCAAUUUUCUUUUUCUUGACCUUGACAUUUUUCAAGAGCAUAAGCUAGUUAUUUUUGUAGAAGAUCUGUCAAUUUGGGUUUACCUGAUAUUUUCCAAUGAUGAAGUCAUGUGGGAGUUUUGCCAUAAAUAUUGCAAAAGUGACGCUGUAUCCUUUGAGAGCAAGAUAACUUGAGGCACAUAAUACUGGUUUGUCACAAUAUUGAUAUGCAUUUUGAUCAUUAAGAUGUUAUCUGCCAGUUUUCCCCAUGUAAUAAGAAACCUUGUAUGUAAAUAUCUUGUUUCCUAUUAAACUUUCUCCGAGUGCUU
rnacentral:lncRNA from 1 species